GCCCGGGUGGCUCAGCGGUUGAGCAUCUGUCUUUGGCCCAGGACGUGAUCCCAGAGUCCUGGGAUCGAGUCCCACAUCGGGCU
rnacentral:tRNA from 1 species